AGAGAUCGCGUCUUCAAACAAAUGUGCCUAUUUGGGACAUUCUUCAUUCAAACUGGUGACCACCAGGGGAGGUGGCUACUGUCCCUCCUAAAAACAUUUCUGGCUACGGAGAUGGAUAUUUACUUGAACCACAUGUUCCAGAGAAUAAGAGCAGAUCCAGGAGAGUCACUCCUCCUGAGUCCCACGUGGUCCUGGCUAGGGCUGAGGGUGCUGUGUGCUUGGUCCUCCGAGUGGAGUCUUGUCCAAGCUGGGCCUGACUUUUUGCACACACCACAUGCCUCAUCAUCCAGGCUGCCCCACUAGGCAGUGAGGAGUUCGGAGUUCCAGCCCAGAUUUCUUCAAUGAUGCUCACUCUGAUUCUGCUAGGAACUGGGAAAGUCUCCAGAUGAACGGGGCACCCCUUCCUGACGUACUGAGAAGGUUGUCACCUGAGUUUCACAGUUUUCAAAGCAUCUGUUUGGCAACUCAAGGGCUUAGCUUGAAUGUGAGGACAUCCAUCUCCCAGUUGGUGAUUGGCAUUGAUCGGCCUGUGCCUUGCUAGAGGUCAGGGAGAAGAUAUGUCACAUGGUGACAUCAGCUGUGGCUUCCUAACAGACAUCAGAGUAAAGAAGUCCCCUCACCUGGGCUUGUAGGGGGCUUUUAUUGUGAAAGAACGUUGGGCCAUCCCAGCUCCUUUUCUGCACAUAUUGAUAGGGUGGUGUGAUAUUUGCCUUUAUUAUGUGUGGGACAAUGGUUUUACCUGUAAAGAUUUGUUUCUUGUACUUGUACUUGUUUAAUAAAAUGCUGGUUUGCCAGUAGCCAGGCAGGAAGUAUAGGUGGA